ACGGAGGAUGCAAGCGUUAUCCGGAUUCAUUGGGUUUAAAGGGUGCGCAGGCGGACUAAUAAGUCAGUGGUGAAAUCUUUCGGCUUAACCGGGAAACUGCCAUAGAUACUGUUAGUCUUGAGUUCGGUUGAGGUAGGCGGAAUGUGUAAUGUAGCGGUGAAAUGCUUAGAUAUUACACAGAACACCAAUUGCGUAGGCAGCUUACUAGACCGACACUGACGCUGAGGCACGAAAGCGUGGGGAGCGAACAGG
rnacentral:rRNA from 1 species